AUACGUAGGAGGCAAGCGUUGUCCGGAUUUACUGGGUGUAAAGGGUCCGCAGGCGGGAAUGUAAGUCGGUGGUGAAAUCCUACGGCUCAACCGUAGAACUGCCUCCGAGACUGCAUCUCUUGAAUAUGGGAGAGGGCAGCGGAAUUCCAGGUGUAGCGGUGAAAUGCUUAGAUAUCUGGAAGAACGCCGGUAGCGAAGGCUGCUGCCUGGCCCAUUAUUGACGCUCAUGGACGAAAGCGUGGGGAUCAAACAGGAUUAGAUACCCUGGUAGUCCACGCUGUAAACGAUGGAUACUCGGUGUUGGCCCGCAAGGGUCGGUGCCUAAGCUAACGCAGUAAGUAUCCCACCUGGGAAGUACGAUCGCAAGGUUGAA
rnacentral:rRNA from 1 species